CCUCAUACCAUGUGAUUAUCAUUCAUCACAGGAUAUAAGGAUCCAGGAAGUAAUAUAAACAAGACAUUUUAAGUGUGUUUAUUUUACAAAUGGAACAUUCAAAAUGAAGUCCCUGUGGAUACACAUGUCAGUGAUCCUUCUAUCUGUCAAAUGUGUUGCGAGCCAGUGUAUAGGCAGUGAGCCCUGUGAUUGCCAUUGUGAGUGCUGUUCCAUCUUUUGCAUUGGAUUUCAAGCUCGCUACUGCACUUCUUGCGCUAAAGGAUGGAGCGGAACAAGAAGCAAUAGUUGUCAAAGACGGAAUGUCGCAUACAAUGCAGCAGUGAGAUCUUCCUCAACUAAUACAAACUACUAUGCGCGGAACGCUGUGGACGAAGAGACUGGAACGUAUGCUUUGACAAAGCAAGAAAAAAAUCCUCAGCUGACAAUAUCAUUGGCCAAUAUGUUCAACAUCAAACAUCUUUUUGUUAAAGUAUACGCAUACCAGACGUCCUCCUUCCAGGUUUUCGUCACAAACUCUACUUCAAAUGUACUCUCUGACAACGACAAGUGCGUCGAAUUCCCUGUGGAUGCAAAGGACUAUUUUGACGACAGUGUUAGCUGCAACAGAAAUAUAAUUGGUGAUACGAUUGUCGUUCGAAAAGUCUCAACCUCAGAUAUUUUAUUGGUAAACGAAGUAAAGGUGUAUCAAUGUAGCCAAGGUACCUAUGGAGAUCAAUGUGAAUAUGAGUGCAAGAACUGUUUAGACAGUAGGUGUGAUCAGUACACGGGGGUCUGUGAAAAUGGAUGCAACAUUGGCUGGCACGAAACAUGUCUUGACAAUAGAUGUGAGCUAAUUUCAGAGCCAUGUUCCAUUGGAUGCAGCUCUAGUUGGUAUGGAACCAUGUGUGAUUGGAAGUGUCCCAAAUAUUGCGAAUCAUCUUGUGAUAGAUAUGGGGGAUGUACAGAUUGCGCAGCGGGAUACUUCGGAUCAAAUUGUAAUCAAUGUCCCGAGAAUAGAUUUGGAAAAAACUGUAGUUUGACAUGUCAAAAUUGUAUGGACUGUGAUCAUGUAAAUGGAUGUAUAGAAUGUUCAACUGGUUUUUAUGGUGACGAUUGUAAGGAAACAUGCUCAGAAGGUUGCAGAGAUCGUAAUUGUGAUAAAAAGUUUGGAACCUGUUUAAAUGGAUGUAUAAACGGGUAUAUGGGCGAUAAUUGUAAAACGCGUUGUAGAGCCAACUGUACAACUUGUAGUACUGAUGAUCCUUGCAUUUCCUGCUUAGUUGGUACCUUCGGUACAUAUUGCGAAUAUGCAUGUUCAAACACAUGCGGUGGUAAUAAAUCUUGUUCUAAGAUAGGCGGUCAGUGUAUUGAGUGCUCUUCUGGAAUGUUCGGUCCAAAUUGCACCGAACACUGCAGUCAAAAUUGUAUAAAUCCUACUGUGUGUCAACGAGAUGGUAAAUGUUUCUCUGGAUGCGUUGAUGGAUGGUAUGGUCCACUGUGUAAUAGGAAUUGUUCGAUAGAAAACUGUGCACAAUGUAUUUCAAGAUCGUCUGAUGUUUCCUGUGCAUCAUGCAAUAUGGGUUACUAUGUGGAUUACACGUAUGGGAAUUGUAUGAAAUGUCCUUCUAACUGUAUAACUUGUAAAAACGAAUCAAAAUGCACUCGGUGCAAACCAAAUUUUUAUGGGGAAAGGUGCAAUGAUGAAUGCAACAAAAACUGUGUCAAUGGUUUAUGCGAAAUUAAUGGAACUUGUACUAUUGGUUGCAAUAAUUCCAAGUAUGGUGCUGGAUGUUCCGAAAAUUGUAGUCUUAACUGUAUGCACUGUCACAGCAAAUAUAGUUGUGAAAAAUGUUUACCUAGAUUCUACGGUUUAACUUGUAGAGGAACAUGUCCUGGUCAAUGUUUUAAUUGUACUUCAAAUUCCAAUUGUGAGGUCUGCAAGCCCGGAUUCUUUGGACCCCGGUGUGGUUAUGAUUGUCGUCCAGAAUGUCUGACCUGUAACUCAGGAGAUUCCUGUACUUCCUGUAGGGACGGCUGGUCCGGACGUUUAUGCAAAUGUAGCAAAAACUGCAAAAAUGAAGAUUGCGAUAGCGAUGGAAUCUGCCAAAGCGGGUGUAACGGUUCAUAUUAUGGGGAACGUUGUGAUGUUUCCUGUCCUUCGAAGAAUUGUCAAAGUUGUGAUCGAAUGUCUGGCAACUGUACAGAGUGCUCUAAAGGACUGUAUGGGAUAAACUGUACUGAUAAAUGCAUGUUUGGGGAGUGUUUGGGGAGUGCUUGUGAUAUGACCGGCGCAUGUUUACGUGGCUGCCAGGAUGGCUUAGAUGGAAAAGAAUGCACUAAAAUCAGUAAGUUAUAUACAAAAAAUAUGUUUUAUUAUUGAUUUGUCUAUGAUUAAAAUAUUCAACAAAACUGAACUGAAUGCCGUACACGUAAGUCAUUUGCAAAAAUAUGUAUCAUAUUUCGAUUUUUUUCGGAUUUAUAAGGUUUUCCUAUGCUUGGCGCUACUAAGACUCUCUCAGUGAAAGUUUGGGUUUAAUUGAUAAAUGUACAUUCUAACAAUGCAUUGACAUUAGAAAAGUAUAUAUUUACAUGAAAAUUUGCUGCAUAUGUGAGUUUAGAUCAUUUUUAACAACUUGUUUUGAGUCAAAGCUGUGCAAAUAGUUUGAUAUUUAUUCCACAAACUACAUGAAACAUCUUAAAAGAAAGAUUUGAUUAAUUAAAUAAUUAUGUUGACAAAAUACUUUUCACGCAAUUAGUUUUUAGCCCAGUAAACCAUAAAAAAUUAUUUUCGUAAAAAAUCACAGUUUGUAACACCUUUUCUUAUGUCUAUAAACGAUGUUGGACAUGUUUUAAACAGUUAUUUUGAUGAAUAACAAUUUACAAAUAAUUAAUUAUAGCUUCUGUCUAAAAAAAAUCUUACUGGUUUUAUAAUGAAAGCAAACAUUAUGUUCUUAUUCACCAGAUCAAACGAAUAUAAAUAGAUUAUUCUUAAAUUACACUGUAAAAACACACACUAGUAUGUCGGAACUGUUUCGCCAGCGGCUGUGCAACAAACCUCAAAUUUACAUGUAAUUCAAAUUUGACUACAAGUACAUCUAUUAUCUUCUGGUUGCAUUAUCGAAAUUCUACAAGAUAAAAAAUAAAAAUUUGAUUAAAUUAGAUAUACAGUGAAUGUAAAGGGAGGGGAGAGGGGGCUGUUGCACGUAAAGCAGCGAACCCUGAAUGAUUUUAAUUUCCUAACACCUAGACACAGGUUAACUAUAGUCUGUCCCUAGAUAUUUUUGCUGCACAUUUGAACGAUUCUUAAUAAAAAUAAACAUAUCUGUGAAAGAAAUGCAAUUGAAAUCGAUAAAAGGUAAAAUUCCCAAGAUAACCUCAUUCACACAUUAUCAUUAUCAUGGCGCAUGUUUGCAAGGCUGCGAGGAUGGAUUUGCUGGAAAACUUUGUACCGAAUGUAAGUAUUAGGUAGAUCAAACCAUUUAUAAUCUUCUUUAGUUUUUUUUUUAAUUUUUAUUAAUUAGAUUUUAUAGUCAUCAAACUCAUACUUAGCACUAUUUAAUGGGUUUGCACAUUGUUAACCUAUAAAUAAAAAGUGGAAUUAACAGUUCUUAAAAUACACAUACAGUUGUUAAAUAUUAACUUUGAAAUAACUGAUAAAGUCAGUAACUCUCUCUCUCUCUCUCUCUCUCUCUCUCUCUCUCGACCGAUCGAUCGAAACACUGUAAACAAAUGAAACAAAAACAUUUUCAUUAAAUUCAUUAUGCUAGCUUUUUGUAUAAAUUAUCAUGCUGAUAUGUCGCGAGAAUUAACGGAAUCGGAUUCCGUCUUUGUUUUUUGUACGGACUGAAAAUUUAUUUGACGGUGACAGAACCAGUUUCAGACAAACACUAACUGAUCGUCAGAUGUGAGUAUUUUUGUACGACUUAGUUGCCCGGUUUGUUUGAUAUGAAAUCAUAUUUUGUUCAAUAUGAAAUGUAAAAUGCAUUCAUGAAGGUCAUUUAAAAAAAUUGAAUUAAAAUUGAUUGAAUUAAUUGAUUAUUAAAUAAUUAAUUUAAUUAUUGUUCUCGAGUAAAUUAUACUUACGGUAGAUAUCCUUUGAUUUUAAUGAUAUUUUCCUUGUAAAUUUGUGUAAGUUGCAGGAUUGAUACCGUUAUAUGGUCGUUUCCGCCCCAAUGAAUCACAAGCAAGUUGAACCAGCUGACAUGUAAAAUGAGAAAAUCAAUUUUGUGGCACCUGAUACAAGAGUCAAGACAGAUUAUAAACCCUAAAACUUGAAAUAUGGUAAACCACUGUCAUGCAGUCUACUUCAUAUUACGGUAGAGAAUAUGUACGAGAAGUAUUCAAUGAAAGCACCAAAAGCAAAGGUAGGCACACCAUAUACACUAUGUCAGUUUUGUUCCUUAAGCGAACACGAAAUAUUCUUGAGUCUUCUGAACAGUCAAUUUUUAAAGGUCGACUUGAAAAGUCCCUUUUGUACAAUUUGCAUGCAGUGUAUUAUUCAUAAUGCCGGGUCUGUUUUAGCCUUAAGAAUUUACAUCAACGUGUUUUUGCAACUAUGUGGCAAAAGAACGAUGGUUAUUAUUACAGGUAUGUAACAAAGGUAGAAAACAGGUUUGUAGUUGAAGAUGUAUCAUUCAUUAUUGCCACUUUCCUUAAUUAAAGCAUGCUGGAUUUGUAAUAGUACACUUUUUAUUACACAUUUAUGUUAACAUGAUUUUUUUCCUUCUAAUUUCUUUAUAUUGAUGUUGAUUCUUAUUUUUUGCAGUACUAGUAUUACUAAAAUUGAUAAUUUGGAUUUUAAUGGUGCAUGUAUUUUAUGUUUUCCUACACCUAUCUGAAUAAUGUAAAUAUUGUGAUGUGUAAAAAUGAGUAAUUUCUUAUAACAUCUUUAAAAAAAGAUGUCUGUCUCGCCAGGAUACUUCACAACAAAGCACACAGACAGAUAAGCAUCACACUGAAAAGAUAACGCUUACAACAAAACAAGCAAUCAAUGAGAAAAGACGUUUGGAGCUAUGACAGAGAUCCUUUCCAAAGAUGCUUUACACUUAGUUUUAAAAAGGUUAAUUUAUAUUUAUCAGCCUAUACAUGUAAAACUAAUAAGUCGCUUGUCAAAAGAUAAAAGGUAAAAUAUAUAGAUGCAAAAAGGCAUGGAUGAUGCUGCUGAUAUGAAAGACAUCAUAUUUGUACAUUUAAGGACAUCACCAGAGAGAAGUUUUUAUUGAAAAAAAAAAAACCCACGGAUUUUAACGAACUUCAGAUACUUUACAUGAAGUUAGCUGCCAUUUCUUUUGGACAGUCCUUCUUUAUUCAUAUGAGCAUCAUCAGUAAGUUAAGUGAAGGUGGAAACAAUCAAACAGGAUUCACAUUAAAAGGUAGCAUUCUGAGGCGGCAUGGGCAACCAGUGCAGAUGAUAGACUAAAUCAGAUUGUCAAUUUUUAUUGUAUCAUCUUCCAAACCAUACUUAAUUGGAGACAACUUUUAAAACACUAAUACACAAGUCUAAGAUCUAAUCUUAUUGAAUGUUUCAAGGAUAAAAUCCCAGGAUUUAAGAACAUAUGUAAUUAUCAAGGAAGAGGAUGAAAAAAAUCAACUGUAUCAAAUUUUUAGCGAGAAAUAUAAGUGUUUUCUGUUUACGAGUAGACUACGAUGCAAAA